AGAGCGAACGCUGGCGGCAGGCUUAACACAUGCAAGUCGAGCGGGCGUAGCAAUACGUCAGCGGCAGACGGGUGAGUAACGCGUGGGAACGUACCUUUUGGUUCGGAACAACACAGGGAAACUUGUGCUAAUACCGGAUAAGCCCUUACGGGGAAAGAUUUAUCGCCAAAAGAUCGGCCCGCGUCUGAUUAGCUAGUUGGUGAGGUAACGGCUCACCAAGGCGACGAUCAGUAGCUGGUCUGAGAGGAUGAUCAGCCACAUUGGGACUGAGACACGGCCCAAAACUCCUACGGGAGGCAGCAGUGGGGAAUAUUGGACAAUGGGCGCAAGCCUGAUCCAGCCAUGCCGCGUGAGUGAUGAAGGCCCUAGGGUUGUAAAGCUCUUUUGUGCGGGAAGAUAAGUGACGGUACCGCAAGAAUAAGCCCGGCUAACUUCGCGCCAGCAGCCGC
rnacentral:rRNA from 1 species